rnacentral:rRNA from 1 species
UCCGUAGGGGGCAAGCGUUGUCCGGAAUCAUUGGACGUAAAGAGCGUGUAGGCGGCCAGAUAAGUCCGCUGUGAAAUCUCGAGGCUCAACUUCGAGCUGUCGGUGGAAACUGUCUGGCUAGAGUCCGGAAGAGGAGAAUGGAAUUCCUGGUGUAGCGGUGAAAUGCGCAGAUAUCAGGAAGAACACCCGUGGCGAAGGCGGUUCUCUGGGACGGUACUGACGCUGAGACGCGAAAGCGUGGGGAGCGAACAGG